UCGGGAAUUUUGGGCAAUGGGCGAAAGCCUGACCCAGCAACGCCGCGUGAGGGAUGAAGUAUUUCGGUAUGUAAACCUCGAAAGAAUGGGAAGAAUAAAUGACGGUACCAUUUAUAAGCUCCGGCUAACUACGUGCCAGCAGCCGCGGUAAUACGUAGGGAGCAAGCGUUGUUCGGAUUUACUGGGCGUAAAGGGCGCGUAGGCGGCGCGGUAAGUCACUUGUGAAAUCUCUGAGCUUAACUCAGAACGGCCAAGUGAUACUGCUGUGCUAGAGUGCGGAAGAGGCAACCGGAAUUCUUGGUGUAGCGGUGAAAUAAGUAGAUAUCAAGAGGAACACCUGAGGCGAAGGCGGGUUGCUGGGCCGACACUGACGCUGAUGCGCGAAAGCCAGGGGAGCAAACG
rnacentral:rRNA from 1 species